CUUUGGGUGUUGGAUAAGGGUCAUUGAAAUGUAGCAGUCUUGGCUGUGUUAUAGUCUUUGACUUGGAUACAAUGCUUGGGAUUGAGGAAUGCAGUAAGCCAUUUAUUUGGUGGGACAAUUUAUUGUUCUUCUUACUGAGGAUGUUGGUGCAAUAGCUUUAAUUGACCCGUCUUGAAACACGGACCAAGGAGUCUAACAUGCUUGCGAGUAUUUGGGUGUUGAAACCCUCAUGCGUAAUGAAAGUAAAUGCAAAUGGGAUCUGUAAAAAGUGCACCAUUGACCAGUCCUGAUUAUUUAUAUGAAGGUACUGAGUAAGAGCAAGUAUGUUGGGACCCGAAAGAUGGUGAACUAUGCCUGAAUAGGGUGAAGCCAGAGGAAACUCUGGUGGAAGCUCGUAGCGGUUCUGACGUGCAAAUCGAU
rnacentral:rRNA from 1 species